GUUCUAACACCAACUGGAAAGCAUUGUCAUACGGCUCUUCUUGAUUUUCUUACUAAUUGCUAUUUCCAGAUAGCCGUGUUUGUGCGAGGGAUUGGAUUGAGAAUUCAAAUUAUCCCGUGACCUUUAUUAACAAAGUGCCAUUAUACCCAAUAAAUACUGCUAUUGGAUAUUCAUCAAGUA